CCCUUAGAUGUUCUGGGCCGCACGCGCGCUACACUGAUGCAUUCAACGAGUCUAAAACCUGCUCUGAUAGGGGUGGGUAAUCUUUUGAAUGUGCAUCGUGAUUGGGAUAGAAGAUUGCAAUUUUUCAUCUUCAACGAGGAAUGCCUAGUAAACGCAAGUCAUCAGCUUGCAUUGAUUACGUCCCUGCCCUUUGUACACACCGCCCGUCGCUCCUACCGAUUGAAUGAUCCGAUGAAUAUCAUGGAUUGAGGAUGCAAGUAGGUUCGCCUAUCUUCAUCUUCGAGAAGUGAAGUAAAUCUUAUCAUUUAGAGGAAGGAGAAGUCGUAACA
rnacentral:rRNA from 1 species